AAGUGGGAUCAGGUAAGGGUGAAAGGGUGCGGUAAGAGCGCACCGCGCGGCUGGUAACAGUCCGUGGCACGGUAAACUCCACCCGGAGCAAGGCCAAAUAGGGGUUCAUAAGGUACGGCCCGUACUGAACCCGGGUAGGCUGCUUGAGCCAGUGAGCGAUUGCUGGCCUAGAUGAAUGACUGUCCACGACAGAACCCGGCUUAUCGGUCAGUUUCACCU
rnacentral:RNase_P_RNA from 1 species